GGUAGGGUAACCUUUAUGGAGCCAGCCGCCGAAGGUGGGACAGAUAAUUGGGGUGAAGUCGUAACAAGGUAGCCGUAUCGGAAGGUGCGGCUGGAUCACCUCCUUUCUAAGGAA
rnacentral:rRNA from 1 species